rnacentral:rRNA from 1 species
AUUGAACGCUGGCGGCAGGCCUAACACAUGCAAGUCGAGCGGAGCGGCGGACGGGCGAGUAAUGCCUAGGAAUCUGCCUGGUAGUGGGGGAUAACGUCCGGAAACGGGCGCUAAUACCGCAUCCUAUCAGAUGAGCCUAGGUCGGAUUAGCUAGUUGGUGGGGUAAGGGCCUACAAAGGCGCCGAUCCGUAACUGGUCUGAGAGGCUGAUCAGUCACACUGGAACUGAGACACGUGCCAGACUCCUAGGGAGGGCAGCAGGGGGGAUGAUUGGACAAUGGGCGAAGCCUGAUCCAGCCAUGCCGCGUGUGUGAAGAAGGUCUUCGGAUUGUAAAGCACUUUAAGUGUGGAGGCGUUACCAACAGAAUAAGCACCGGCUAACUUCGUGCCAGCAGCCGCGGUAAUAC